GACGAACGCUGGCGGCGUGCUUAACACAUGCAAGUCGAGCGGUAAGGCCUUUCGGGGUACACGAGCGGCGAACGGGUGAGUAACACGUGGGUGAUCUGCCCUGCACUUCGGGAUAAGCCUGGGAAACUGGGUCUAAUACCGGAUAUGACCUCCUAUCGCAUGGUGGGUGGUGGAAAGAUUUAUCGGUGCAGGAUGGGCCCGCGGCCUAUCAGCUUGUUGGUGGGGUAAUGGCCUACCAAGGCGACGACGGGUAGCCGACCUGAGAGGGUGACCGGCCACACUGGGACUGAGACACGGCCCAGACUCCUACGGGAGGCAGCAGUGGGGAAUAUUGCACGAUGGGCGAAAGCCUGAUGCAGCGACGCCGCGUGAGGGAUGACGGCCUUCGGGUUGUAAACCUCUUUCAGCAGGGACGAAGCGCAAGUGACGGUACCUGCAGAAGAAGCACCGGCUAACUACGUG
rnacentral:rRNA from 1 species